AGCCCUUAAGAACACCAUCAUCUUCAACCUUUGAGUUUUUCAUGUAAAAUCUUUGAUUCAUCAUAACUUCUUCAAUUCUCAACGGAAUUGAGCGAUUCUCGCGGCCACGGAACGAGGAAAGGAUCCUCUACUAGAUUAUGGAUUCAAUUUGAGGUGAUGGUGAGCUUAUAUGGAACUCUUUGAUGGUGAUUUUGGAUGCUUAAACCUUCCGCAAAGUCAUCAACCAAGACUUGACGGGGCGACGGCCAAUGGAACCCGGAACUUACAGAACGCGACAUCGCUUAGCUAUUAUCGAAGAUUAUGGAUAGCAAGCGUGUGUUUUUCAGGUACCUAGAUUCUAGACGUGGCUAGAAGUUUGUCUUUAACCGGAAGUUCCUUUGGCUAUGUACAGCCCCGACUUCCGUAGAUGCUGCAGUAGUAUGAUGUCUGACCAGUGUCGUGGCCUAUUACAGAUGUGAAAUUUUAUAUGGUUUAUAGUUGAUGUCUGUUGUGUAUAUGAGGUCUGGCUACAAUAGUUAUCACGGAGGUAAAUUCCCGUGAUGUAAUUUUGACAUAGUGGUUUAUGCCGGGCUAAUACGUUCAUGAUACGGAAACGAUAAGUCCGAGCACGUUGUAUGGUUUUACCACUGUAUUUAAAUGUAUCUUUGUUUAAAUGCUGUGUUUAUAAAGUCAUUGUAUGAUUGUUUAUUGCGAAAAAGUCUUAGUGAAUUUCAGGCUUGCUACGGGUUUCGGAA